rnacentral:rRNA from 1 species
GACGAACGCUGGCGGCGUGCUUAACACAUGCAAGUCGAACGAUGAACCCGGAGCUUGCUCUGGGGGAUUAGUGGCGAACGGGUGAGUAACACGUGAGUAACCUGCCCUGGACUCUGGGAUAAGCGUUGGAAACGACGUCUAAUACCGGAUAGGACCUUGGAUCGCAUGAUCUGGGGUGGAAAGUUUUUUCGGUCUGGGAUGGACUCGCGGCCUAUCAGCUUGUUGGUGAGGUAAUGGCUCACCAAGGCGUCGACGGGUAGCCGGCCUAAGAGGGUGACCGGCCACACUGGGACUGAGACACGGCCCAGACUCCUACGGGAGGCAGCAGUGGGGAAGAUUGCACAAUGGGCGAAAGCCUGAUGCAGCAACGCCGCGUGCGGGAUGACGGCCUUCGGGUUGUAAACCGCUUUUAGUAGGGAAGAAGGGCUUCGGCUUGACGGUACCUGCAGAAAAAGGACCGGCUAACUACGUG